rnacentral:rRNA from 1 species
UACGUAGGGCGCAAGCGUUACUCGGAAUCACUGGGCAUAAAGGGCGUGUAGGCGGGCGCGUAAGUCCGGUGUGAAAUCCCUCGGCUCAACCGAGGAUGGCCAUUGGAUACUGCGUGUCUUGAGUGUGGGAGGGGAGAGUGGAACUCUUGGUGGAGCGGUGAAAUGCGUAGAUAUCAAGAGGAACGCCGGUGGCGAAAGCGGCUCUCUGGCCCAUUACUGACGCUGAGGCGCGAAAGCCAGGGGAGCAAACGGG